rnacentral:rRNA from 1 species
GAUGAACGCUGGCGGCGUGCCUAAUACAUGCAAGUCGAGCGAAUGGAUUAAGAGCUUGCUCUUAUGAAGUUAGCGGCGGACGGGUGAGUAACACGUGGGUAACCUGCCCAUAAGACUGGGAUAACUCCGGGAGACCGGGGCUAAUACCGGAUAACAUUUUGAACCGCAUGGUUCGAAAUUGAAAGGCGGCUUCGGCUGUCACUUAUGGAUGGACCAGCGUCGCAUUAGCUAGUUGGUGAGGUAACGGCUCACCAAGUAAACGAUGCGUAGCCGACCUGAGAGGGUGAUCGGCCACACUGGGACUGAGACACGGCCCAGACGCCUACGGGAGGCAGCAGUAGGGAAUCUUCCGCAAUGGACGAAAGUCUGACGGAGCAACGCCGCGUGAGUGAUGAAGGCUUUCGGGUCGUAAAACUCUGUUGUUAGGGAAGAACAAGUGCUAGUUGAAUAAGCUGGCACCUUGACGGUACCUAACCAGAAAGCCACGGCUAACUACGUGCCAGCCGCCGCCGUAA